GCCUAGGGACCUUCUGGAAACUUACAAAACAAAUCAAAAUUGUCUCUUUACUUACUACCUCAGCCUUUUCCUCUCCUCACCUAUUUUCACCUACCUUAAUCUUUCAGGGAAAACUUUCACUGCCAGCCAAAAGUUAAAAAAAGAAAAAUCACCAAGAGAUUUUGCAUCAUCCUAGACUGAUCGUCUUCUCCAAAAGACAUGAUUCUCUUCCACAAUCUUAAUUCAUUAUUCACUAAGCAUACCCUUUAUUGCUGAUGAAAGACUUUCAUUCACAAAUAC
rnacentral:lncRNA from 1 species